rnacentral:lncRNA from 1 species
UCUGCCUAGCUCACUCAAGAACCCAGCCCCCAUAGUGUGAGGAGGCCUAGGACAGUUACAGAAGCCAUGUGUAGGUGUUCUGGCUCCAGCAAAAGUCUUAUCUGACAACAUCAACUACAUGUUAGUGGGUAUAACCUCAUCCUGGAGCAGGGCACCCUAUCGUCAGAUGGUAUCAUCUUUAAGGGGUUGUCUCAGCCAUGCCUUUAGAAUUACCUUUCAUUGCUUGUCAUGCUGGAAGCUUCUGAAUGUUGCAUUUUGUGAUAGAAACAGUGGGUACCAUGGUCAUGUGCUCACAUCUCCUUUGCGGUAAAGAAAAGGAUCACUCAUUAACAUCCACCAGAUAACAUUCUCCAUGAAAGCACCAAAUAAACUAACCAGAAUUGGCUACAGUUUCUUCAAGAAAAUACCCCAAUGGAAGAAAAAAAGGUGGAGGGAGAAACUGAAUGAAGAAAGGAUGAUUUGAAAUUACCAGAAAGUGGAACGUGGAAAAAACAGAGUAAAACUAGUUUGAGAAUAAAAUCUUAGGUUGUAACAUCUUCUGGGAAUUUAUUCUUUAAAUAUUGCUUUUAACUGGAUUCUUUGGUAAAUAGUAAAUGCAUUUUGGUUUUGAUUUAAGCAGCUCAUUCUUUUGUUUCUUCACUUCUCCAAUAAACUUGCUCUCACUUAAAAAAUGCCUUGUAGAACAACUCAUGAUAAUUAUUACUGUUGGGAAAUAGGAGAAACAUAUUGUAUUAGUCAGAAUUUUACAGAGAAACAGAACCAAUAGGAGAUAUCUAUCUAUCUAUCUAUCUAUCUAUCUAUCUAUCUAUCUAUCUACCUAUCUAUCAUCUAUCUAAAUAUAUGACUAUAGAUAUAGAUGAGGGGAUUUAUUAUAGGAAGUGGCUCAUAUGGUUACGGAGGCUAAGAAGUGCCAUGGCCUGCUAUCUGCAAACUGGAGAACCAUAAAUUCUGGUGGUGUGAUUCAGUGCAAGUCAAAAAAGGCCUGAGAAUCAGAGGGCUGUUGGGUAUAAAUCCAAAAGCCCAAAAACCACUUGUGUCAAUGUCCAAAGGUAGGAGAAAAUGAAUAUCUCAGCUCAAGCAGAGAAAGUAAACUUGCCCUUCCUCUGCCUUUUUGUUCUAUUCAGGCCCUCAAUGGAUUGAAUGAUGCCCACAGAUAUUUGUGAGAGCAGAUCUUCCUUACUCAGUCUACUGAUUUAAAUGCUAAUCUCUUCUAGAAACAGUCUCAUACUUGUACCCAGAAAUAAUAUUUAGCAGCUCUCUAGAUAUCCCUUAGCCUAGUCAAGUUGACACACAAAAGUAACCAUCACAGAUAUUUUAUUUGGCAAUUGUAUUAAAAUUAAACAAUUUUAUAUCCUCCCAAAAAGGAGAGGAAUAACUUUAGUGACUUUCUGUGUUUCAGAGUAUUGAGAAUCUAUACUUAAGGAAAUGGCUCUUAUUUAUAGGAAAUAGUUUGCUAUAUUUGAUCUUAAAACACCUAGCUUUGCAAACUGUUAAACCCAAACACUGUUGUCUCAAUCCGAAAAUGUGGAACAGUAACUCACAUUGGUAAAUUUUGGUUACACAUGUCAUUAAGGUAGUUACUUACCUUUAUGUGUCUGUUCAUUUAUCCUACUGAUGUUUAUUACAUACCUAUUAUUUGUUAGACUCUAUACUAGUGCCUGGGUUUCAGUACUUAAGAAAAUAGACAAAAUCUCUACUCUUGAGAUGUUUAUAGUCUAGUUUUAGAAUGGGCACUUUUUGGGGUUGUUAAUCAACUUUCUUUUUUAAUCAAUUUGAUGUCCAUUCAGAUUGUAUAAAUUGAGACCCUGUAGGGAACUGUUUGAGUAUGGGGUUGGGGGGAUUGAUGGAGGACAACAAAAUGUUCACUAUAUAGACAUCAAAAAUUAUUUAAAAUAUUCAUAAUUUUGUUCAUUGAUGUGGAACAGUGUUCAUAUUUUGAUUCUGGUUAAAAAUGAAAUUAAUAUGGCAAAUUGAGAAGACUGGGAAAUUUGUGAAUAUAUAUGCAUAUUUAUAGAUGCAAAAAUAAAUAUAUAUUUGCCACACACAUACAUAUACACAUGCACAAAUACUGUGUAAAUAUUCUUAAUUAGCUAUUUUGCCAGAUCUGGCCCCAGUGCUUAUUUAACUAUCCCCAGGAAUUUUAGCAUAUAGAAGAUAUUUUAAACUACACAAAAUAAACAGAAGCAUAGUUUAUCACUUUUAUAAGUUAAUUGCAAUAUUGAUAUGUAAUUAACUCUAAUGAAUUCAACAGUCAUAAAUCAUUCAAUUGAUUUUUAAAACCAAUCAUUGUCCCACUUAACUAAUUGCUGAUGGUCAUUUGCAUUUCAUAAAUGUUACUACUGUCUGUGAAUGUACCCAUGUUGUGCUAAUGCUAGUUUUAUCUGUGAACUGAGAUUGGAAGUUAUAGCACUGGUUUUGGUCCUUGGGCCUGAAUUAUUUUUGAAAAUACUAAGAUUGGUUACCUAGACAAGUUUUCUCUUCUGAAAACUGCAUUUUCUUACUAACUUAGUAGACAAAUCCAAAUUUUGCUAUCAAUUAGCAGAAGUUUUUAAGCGCAGUUCUCAAAGUAGUUCUCUUUUUCAGCAAGUCUGCAAGGUCAAAAAUGUUGCAUAUUAAUACUCAGAAUAAUUUUUCACUUUUCACCUCCAGAGACUACAUAAAGUGAUGACAUUAUGGCUCUUAUGUUAAUAUGUUGAGUUUAUUAUGAUUUUUAAAUAAAUGAAUGAAUACAUAUGUAGAUAUUUUCUCAGUUUUAAUGUCUAAUGUGAUAAUGAGUGAUAGGAUGCACAUAAGCAAAAUCUCCUUGGGAUCUUCCAUAAUUUUGAAGAUGAUAAAGGGAUCCUGAGAUCAGGAAACUUGAGUAUUAGUGGCUUAGGGUAAUGUAAACAGUUAUUUCAGGAAGUUAGUGUUCACAGUAUAAAAUUCCAAAUGCACUCAUUUGGAUAUUUAUGCAUUUUUUCUGUGUCUUAUAUAGUUGCCACAGUGUGUCAUAUAAGCUAAGUAAUAAAAUGUUGUCUAAAGUGUUUUUAAAAAGUUUGCAGAAUGAUGG